rnacentral:rRNA from 1 species
CUGAUCUUAGCGCCGGACGGGUGAGUAAUGCUUAGGAAUCUGCCUAUUAGUGGGGGACAACAUUUCGAAAGGAAUGCUAAUACCGCAUACGUCCUACGGGAGAAAGCAGGGGAUCUUCGGACCUUGCGCUAAUAGAUGAGCCUAAGUCGGAUUAGCUAGUUGGUGGGGUAAAGGCCUACCAAGGCGACGAUCUGUAGCGGGUCUGAGAGGAUGAUCCGCCACACUGGGACUGAGACACGGCCCAGACUCCUACGGGAGGCAGCAGUGGGGAAUAUUGGACAAUGGGCGCAAGCCUGAUCCAGCCAUGCCGCGUGUGUGAAGAAGGCCUUAUUGGUUGUAAAGCACUUUAAGCGAGGAGGAGGCUACUUUUAGUUAAUACCUAGGAGAUAGUGGACGUUACUCGCAGAAUAAGCACCGGCUAACUCUGUGCCAGCAGCCCGCGGUAAUACAGAGGGUGCAAGCGUUAAUCGGAUUUACUGGGCGUAAAGCGCGCGUAGGCGGCUAAUUAAGUCAAAUGUGAAAUCCCCGAGCUUAACUUGGGAAUUGCAUUCGAUACUGGUUAGCUAGAGUGUGGGAGAGGAUGGUAGAAUUCCAGGUGUAGCGGUGAAAUGCGUAGAGAUCUGGAGGAAUACCGAUGGCGAAGGCAGCCAUCUGGCCUAACACUGACGCUGAGGUGCGAAAGCAUGGGGAGCAAACAGGAUUAGAUACACUGGUAGUCCAUGCCGUAAACGAUGUC